AUGAGUGUCGCCCCGGAUGUGGUUAACAUGAAGGCAUCAACUAGUAGACGGCUAUUAUAUGACUUGAAUCCUGGUAGAUUGGUUUCACCACCAGCUAUCUCAUCAUCUAAACUACGCUCAGUGCACAACGUGCAUGAUAUCUUAAAGAGCUCCAAAGAACCUUACAUAGUUGACAUAUCAUCUCGCAUGGACAAGUCACGUAAGGCCUUGUACAAUGGGAGAUGCUUAGGUGAGGUGCUUAGAGAAAUAAACCAGGCUUUUCUUAAGCACCGGUGCCUAUUUGUACAGGAGAGACGCUUAACUAAGCAUCUCAGAAAUAGGCACCGGUGCUUCAAAAAAACUCGGUUUAUUUUUCUAAACACCUCUCUAAGCAUCUCCUAUUGUACAAGGCCUAACAGAAUUCAAGUUUUCCAAUGA
rnacentral:rRNA from 1 species